UGGGGUGUAGCUUGGUGGUAGAGCACUUGCCUAGCAUGCAUGAGGCCCUAGGUUCAUCCCCGGCACCAUAC
rnacentral:tRNA from 1 species